UAGCGACAGGCCUAACACAUGCAAGUCGAGGGGCAGCACAAGGAGCAAUCUGAGGUGGCGACCGGCGCACGGGUGAGUAACACGUAUGCAACCUGCCUGUAAGCGGGGAAUAACCCGUUGAAAGAACGGACUAAUACCGCGAUAAUACUAAAUUACUGCAUGGUAAUUUAUUUAAACAUUUAUGGCUUACAGAUGGGCAUGCGCAUGAUUAGCUAGUUGGAGAGGUAACGGCUCCCCAAGGCAACGAUCAUUAGGGGUUCUGAGAGGAAGGUCCCCCACACUGGUACUGAGACACGGACCAGACUCCUACGGGAGGCAGCAGUGAGGAAUAUUGGUCAAUGGACGAGAGUCUGAACCAGCCAAGUCGCGUGCAGGAAGAAUGUCCUUAAUGGAUUGUAAACUGCUUUUGCAGGGGAAUAAAGUGCAUCACGUGUGAUGUUUUGUAUGUACUCUGCGAAUAAGGAUCGGCUAACUCCGUGCCAGCAGCUGC
rnacentral:rRNA from 1 species